GGGCGAGUGGCGGAAUUGGCAGACGCGCAGGAUUCAGGUUCCUGUGAGUGAAAACUCGUGAGGGUUCAAGUCCCUCCUCGCCCA
rnacentral:tRNA from 1 species